CUGAUAGCUGUAGAGAAUGAAGGCCUCUGUUUAUCCACAGAAGAGUACAGUUUUCCCACCCAGCUCUGCCAGUGUGACCCAGCCCUGACCUGGAGGGACCAUCUCUAGGAAGGAAAUGAUAGUUGAGGCUCUGGCUUCAUUCACUUCUCUGUGUCU
ensembl:misc_RNA